rnacentral:rRNA from 1 species
CUACAUUCCCUAUUACAGUGAAUUACGAAUAAUACUACUGAAACGUAUAUCUAGAAGGAGGAUUUAGCAGUAAGCAGAAAAUAGAGCGUUCUACUGAAACCGGCCCUGAAGCGCGCACACACCGCCCGUCACUCUCCCCAAACAUAUCCUAACACUUUAACUUAAAACCUUUCACCAACGAAGGGGAGGCAAGUCGUAACAUGGUAAGUGUACCGGAAGGUGCACUUGGCAAAAC